CAAUAGCGUAUAUUUAAGUUGUUGCAGUUAAAAAGCUCGUAGUUGGAUUUCUGCUGAUCGCUGUCGGUCUGCCGUCAGGUGUGUACUGGCAGUGUUUGGCAUCUAUUCGAGAUUGGGUGUCCACUUGAUUGUGUGCACUCGAUGUCGGAGCUAAUACUUUGAGAAAAUUAGAGUGUUCCACGCAGGCGCGUGCCUUGAAUACUGCAGCAUGGGAUAUUGGAAGGCCGAUUGAGCUUUCUUGUUGGUUCUCGGCUUGAUCGGAAUGAUUAAUAGGGAUAGUUGGGGGCAUUCGUAUUCAACUGUCAGAGGUGAAAUUCUUGGAUUUGUUGAAGACGGACUACUGCGAAAGCAUCUGCCAUGGAUGUUCUCAUUGA
rnacentral:rRNA from 1 species